rnacentral:rRNA from 1 species
AACGGAGGGUGCAAGCGUUGUUCGGAAUUACUGGGCGUAAAGCGCGUGCAGGCGGUUUUUUAAGUUUCGUGUGAAAUCCCCCGGCUUAACUGGGGAACUGCGCGGAAAACUGGAAGACUUGAAUACGGGAGAAGAGGGCGGAAUUCCCAGUGUAGAGGUGAAAUUCGUAGAGAUUGGGAGGAACACCGGCGGCGAAAGCGGCUCUCUAGACCGAUAUUGACGCUCAUACGCGAGAGCGUGGGUAGCAAACAGG